AUUCAGGUAGCGAUGUGUCACCUUGGGGCAAGCCAGUUUCAAAGCCUCUUCAAGGCCUCAGUUUACUCAUCUAUAAUAUGAGGACAAGAGGAACUCCUGCAGAACCGUGAAAGUUAAAUGAGAUCAUCGCUCAAGUCCCUGGCUCGAGGCCAGUCUCAAGACUUCCUGUAGCACAGACGUGAAACAGACUGGCUUGGCAUCUAACUUCAAAUACAGGCAGCGCAGAGGUAGAGUCACCAGGUAUGUAUGGACAGCCCCAGAGAGCUCCAUCAGGGCGUUUCCAUCAGGCUCCCAAACCAACCCGGCUCCUCUCACCCCAUGUUGAGAAGACUGUGGGUCAGGCUGUUUGUCUCUGGGGCACAUUCCAGAAGGAGCAGAGCCUCCCAUGCCAAGCGGGACUCUGUGGUGCCCUUGCAGACAUUCAAGAAUGACCAGAUAUUCAAUCCUCUGUGGACAACCUCCCAGCAUCCCAUAAUUUGAAGCUCCACAUAGUGGUAUGCUGCUCAUAUUGUAGAAAUGUACCUGCAGUGAAGACCAGCAGUUGAGCUUUACAGCUUAUAGAAUCUAAGAUGCAAUCAACUGGAAGAUGAACCACUAUUUUAUGUACCACUGAGAAAGAAAAAAAUGCUGCCCGCUAAAC